CCUACGGGUGGCUGCAGUGAGGAAUAUUGGUCAAUGGGCGAGAGCCUGAACCAGCCAAGUCGCGUGAAGGAUGACGGCCCUACGGGUUGUAAACUUCUUUUGUCAGGGAGCAAUUGGCUCCACGCGUGGGCUUAGCGUUGUUACCUGAAGAAAAAGCAUCGCCUAACUCCGUGCCCUCACCCGCGGUAAUACGAAGGAUGCGAGCGUUAUCCGGAUUUAUUGGGUUUAAAGGGUGCCUAGGCGGAAUAUCAAGUCAGCGGUAAAAAUUCGGGGCUAAACCCCGUCGUGCAGUUGAAACUGAUGUUCUAGAGUGGGCGAGAAGUAUGCGGAAUGCGUGGUGUAGCGGUGAAAUGCAUAGAUAUCACGCAGAACUCCGAUUGCGAAGGCAGCAUACCGGCGCCCAACUGACGCUGAAGCACGAAAGCGUGGGGAUCAAACAGGAUUAGAUACCCUGGUAGUC
rnacentral:rRNA from 1 species